UAGGGAAUCUUCCACAAUGGGACGCAAGUCUGAUGGAGCAACGCCGCGUGAGUGAAGAAGAUCUUCGGAUCGUAAAACUCUGUUGUUAGAGAAGAACACGAGUGAGAGUAACUGUUCAUUCGAUGACGGUAUCUAACCAGCAAGUCACGGCUAACUACGUGCCGG
rnacentral:rRNA from 1 species